rnacentral:rRNA from 1 species
UACGUAGGGUGCACGCGUUGUCCGGAAUUAUUGGGCGUAAAGAGCUCGUAGGCGGUCUGUCGCGUCGGAUGUGAAAAUCCAGGGCUCAACCCUGGACCUGCAUUCGAUACGGGCAGACUAGAGUUCGGCAGGGGAGACUGGAAUUCCUGGUGUAGCGGUGAAAUGCGCAGAUAUCAGGAGGAACACCGGUGGCGAAGGCGGGUCUCUGGGACGGUACUGACGCUGAGACGCGAAAGCGUGGGGAGCGAACAGG